GGGGCCCGGAAGGGGCUCUGAAUCCCGCCCCUCCGUGCCUCAGUUUCCCCGCCGGACAGUGGGUGUGGACAGCACCUGUGCCGGGGAGGUGCGCGGAGCUCCAUCCGUCGGAGCCGCUCUCGUUGUUGCUGUUGUUGAGCAGCCCCCAGACUCAGCCACCAGUCCCCCAUCACCGUGGGCAGUGAAGGGAUGGCCGCCCAGCUGCUGGCUGACGAGGCCCUGGAGUUGGUGACCUUCAAAGACGUGGCCGUGGACUUCACCCAGGAGGAGUGGCAACAGCGGGAGCCGGCUCAGAGGGACCUCUACAGAGAUGUGAUGCUGGAGACCUUGCAGAACCUGAGCUCACUAGAUUUGGAAUCCAGGCCUGACAGGGACGGCCCACAGGAAGCCCUGCCUGCAGGAGCGUCCCCGGGCUGGCCCUGGAAGAGCUGGGAGGGAGCCGCCUCUGGCGCUCCGGGGCGGGAGAGGCCCAGGGGCCUCCAGGAGGGGCCCCUGCAGAGCAUCAGCCCAGAGCCGCCCAGCCAGGAACUCCAGAAGGGAGGGGCCCCCACGGUUGUGCCCCGCGGAACCCCGCCUGGGAGGGCCCCCGGGGAGCCCCUGGCGGCGAGGAGCCCUGCGUGCGCAGGGAGGGCGGGGAGGCCUUUGCGCAGCGGGCCCAGCUGGCGCAGCAUCAGCGCGCGCACGCCCUGGACAAGCCCUUCGCGGGCGGCGAGUGCGGCAAGCGCUUCACCAAGCGCUCGUCCCUGCCCGGGCACCAGCGGGCCCCCGCGGGCGCCAGGCCCCACCAGUGCCGCGUGUGCGGGAAGGCCUUCCGCAAGACAUCCGACCCGCUCACCCACCCCCGCACACACACGGGCGAGCGGCCUCUCAAGUGCAGCGAGUGCGGCAAGGCGAUCGCGCAGAGCAUGACGCUGGCGGAGCCCCGGAAGACGCGCACCGGCGAAAAGGCGUACCCGCGCCCGCAGUGCGGGAAGCGCUUCACCAAGUCGUCCGCGCUCAUCCUGCGCGAGAGGAUCCACACCCGCGCGAGGCCCUUCCGCGGCGCCGCCUGCGGCAAGGCCUUCAGCCGGAAGGCGCACCUCUCCAUCCACCGGAGGAUCCGCACCGGCGAGAAGCCCUACCGCUGCGGCGAGUGCGGGCGCAGCUCCCGGAAGAUGUCCUUCCUGUCCCAGCACCAGGCCAUCCACAGCGACGAGAGGCCCUUCCGGUGCGGCGUGUGCGGCAGGGCCUUCGUGCGCAAGUCCACCCUGGUCCGGGACGGCAGGAUCCACACGGGAGAGAAGCCCUAUCGGCGCGCGCAGUGCGGGAAGGCCUUCCGGCACCAGCCCUCGCUGACGGCGCACCGCAGAAUUCACACCCGGGAGAAGCCCUACGAGUGCCAGGCGUGCCAGGCGUGCGGCAAGGCCUUCAGGCGCAUCGGGAAUCUCACCUGCCACCAGAAGACCCACCUGGCCGGGGAGGCGGCCCCGCGCGGGCCCAGCUCAGGCAGCAGGCCUUCCUCCCAGCUAACCAACAACUGAGCCUCGUGUGAUGGGCCUGAUGGCCAAGUUUCAGCCUUCUUUCUCUUUAGGCUUAACUUAGGGACCUCAAGAGAUGCCCAUAAGGCUGGUGCCACAUUCCUGAGCAUCUGGGAAAGACAGGUGACAGCAGGGCCUGCUUCAUACAGGGCGUGCGUCGGCUUCAUGCUCUGCUGUCACCGUGGUGAAUUUGCCAGUCCCAGCGAGGAGAUCAGACCAGGGGUUGAGAAGCCACAGCCCACAGAGCUGGACAUGCUUUCGCACGGCCCGCAAGGGGCCCACCCAGAGUCACCUCAUCAGAAGAAAAGACACAGUAUCAGCAAGGAAAUUCCAAGAGACUCAGGAGCUCCGUGCGAGGAACAAAUGUAUACAGAAUGUUCCUAUUACCUCUCAAGGGGACACAAACCAUUCAGUCCACAGCACUGUUUUCCGUGGUGUACAUACAUCCUCUCAGUUAUUCCCCACAACUAAUGCACAAGGUGAGGACUGGUAUUACCAGGAAACGGGCUCAGAGAGAUUAAGAAACUUGCCCAGAGUCACACAGCAAGGGCAGAGUCUGGAUUUGAACCCAGGCAGUCUGGCUUCAGGGCCUCCGUUCCUCCUGGCUCCAUUAUUCUGCCCCCUCGCCUUCACUUACGGAGUGAGGGCUUGCUUCUCAUGGACGGUGACCGUAACAGCAGGUGCUCGCUUUGAGUAUGGAGUCCUGUGUUCUGUUCUACAUUCGUCCAAGUACGAACUCAUUCUGAUGACUCCAGGAAGUUAUAUAAAAUGAUGAAAAUACAAUUUGUCUUCCUCUCGGGCGUCUGGUGAAGGCUGUGUGAGGGGCUGGUAACCGUGGGGGCGGCCUGCAUGGGGUCAGGGUGCAGGCUCUGCCAGGAUGCAGCCCACACACCGCCCCCGGCGCCCUCACGUCCGGGCUGUGCGAUCUACUCGAGCCUCUGAGCCUCCCUGAGCCUCGGCUUCCCCACCUGCGCACCGGAUGACGUGGAGAGAACACCUGUGUCUGCGUCACGUCCUGGGCACGUGCGCGGUGCUCGACACACACUAACUAUAGUGACAGGUGCUCCCGCCGCCCCCUUAUGAUAAGGAUCGGUGGUGAACUUCGGAUCCCCUCUUCUGGGCCCUUCGGGGGGAUCUCACCCGCGUUGCUAAAGGUCCCCCGGCGUCUUCGGGCCUCUGUCAGAUGUCCGCCCCUGAGCGGCCUUGCUGACCACCCAGCCUGAACGGGCCUCGCACCUCUGCUGGCUCUGCGGCUUUCCCGCCGCCAUGCGCUCCCCCGCGGCCUAACCCCGUGUCUCAGGCUUCUCUAGCCUGUGCGCUGCUGCCUGGUGGCCCUAGAAUGUCAGCUCCAGCAUGCGGGGAGCUCACCCCUGCUCGGGGCUGCACCCCCAUCCUCAGCUCCUUCAGGAACUGCGCCCAGGUGCGCGGGACCUGCUGUAGAACGAGUGCUGCUGGGGCCCGUCCCUGUCCCGGGCCUCAGUUUCCCCCCUCCCAUCCCACUUUCAGGGACGAGGUGGCAAUGAGUGAAAUGGGAGCUGCCGCUCCUUGCCUCACCCCUCCGCUCCCUGCCCUGCACUGUUCCAGGAGAGCACAGGGCCGGGCAUGGGAACACGGAGCAGGAAGAGGUGGACGGCCUCCCCCAACCAGCAGGGUAGGAUGCCAGCAGAGCGUGGACCGAGGACGACGCAGGGGAUACGACAGAAGGAAGCACAGGGGCGUGGAGACAACAGCUGCUGGUAUGAGCCCCCAGAAGGGCCGGAGAGGCGACGAGCUUCCCCACGCCCCUCCUGACCACACACACACACAGUCACCACCACGUGAGGCUGCGUCUCUCAGCUCCUGGGGGCGCCCCUGGCUGACCCCCUGCUGCCCCUGCCCCUGCCCUGUGGCUGGGUUAAGGGAGUACAGACGAUGACAGAGGGGACUGAGGGCCCUCCUGGUCACCAUGGUACUGACGGCAUUUCCCAAAGGAAGGGCCACAUGCAGCAAGACCUCACGCUGAUUAAAGCCGGGGCGGCCACGCCAUUCUAAGCCCCGUCCACCCGCUGUGGCAUGACGCCAUGGGGCUGCCUUCUCUGUAUCCUCCCUCUUCCCCUGGACUCUGGUCUGGACGGAAUGACCCCCACGGCCACGGCAGGCACACAGCAGCUCGGGCCCUGGGCCACUGCCACGAUUUCAGGGAUGAGGGAGAGACCCAGAUCUAGGCCCAUGCGCACACGGAGUUUCUCUGGUCACGGCAAUCUGUUCGUGGGUGAGCCCACAGAAUGAAGCUUCGGGCCUUCGUGUCACUGUCAAGAGGUCUGCGUCCACCGGGACGUGUCUGAGACAAUGUGCUGGAAACCACCAGGGAACCCUGAGGGAAGCCAGCCUGAGGACGAGGCCGGCCCAGGAUGGGAAAGCCCGAGAACCAGAGCACCAGAGCUACGCUCCUGAUGCCGCAUGUGGAACAAAACUACCCUGAUGCCCACCUGGCUGCCAGACAUCCAUCCGAAAAGCCAUCGCCUCGAUUAUGCACUCUCGAGCAGCUGCUUUUCCUACUCACAACACGAAGUGCUUACUGAUAUAAACGAUUUCUUAAAUGAAUUGUUUACUCCUUGUGGACACCGGUGUUGGAAACACCGGGACAUUUGCGACAAGUAGGAUCGAAUGUUAGAACAGAAAGGGCGGCAUCAGCGGCCCUGAGAAAGGAGACUCUGGGGGAGAUCCCUGUGUAAACCAAAUGUCAGGUCAGCCUUAGGAAACUCCCGUGGAGCUGCCUUCAAACUUAACUGCAAAAGUCACUAUAAAAACGGACAGUGUGCGCUCAGAUACGCAAACUUACUAAGCUAGGCAAGUACUUAACCCUGAGUAUCAGGC